rnacentral:rRNA from 1 species
UUCCAGACUCCUACGGGAGGCAGCAGUGGGGAAUAUUGCACAAUGGGGGAAACCCUGAUGCAGCGACGCCGCGUGAGUGAAGAAGUAUUUCGGUAUGUAAAGCUCUAUCAGCAGGGAAGAAAAUGACGGUACCUGACUAAGAAGCCCCGGCUAACUACGUGCCAGCAGCCGCGGUAAUACGUAGGGGGCAAGCGUUAUCCGGAUUUACUGGGUGUAAAGGGGGCGCAGACGGCGAUGCAAGCCAGGAGUGAAAGCCCGGGGCCCAACCCCGGGACUGCUCUUGGAACUGCGUGGCUGGAGUGCAGGAGGGGCAGGCGGAAUUCCUGGUGUAGCGGUGAAAUGCGUGGAUAUCAGGAGGAACACCGGUGGCGAAGGCGGCCUGCUGGACUGCAACUGACACUGAGGCUCGAAAGUGUGGGUAUCAAACAGGAUUAGAUACCCCCGUAC